UGGCUCAGAACGAACGCUGGCGGCAGGCCUAACACAUGCAAGUCGAACGGGCACCUUCGGGUGUCAGUGGCAGACGGGUGAGUAACACGUGGGAACGUGCCCUUCAGUUCGGAACAACCCAGGGAAACUUGGGCUAAUACCGGAUACGCCCUUUUGGGGAAAGAUUGAUCGCUGAAGGAUCGGCCCGCGUCUGAUUAGCUAGUUGGUGGGGUAAUGGCCCACCAAGGCGACGAUCAGUAGCUGGUCUGAGAGGAUGAUCAGCCACACUGGGACUGAGACACGGCCCAGAGUCCUACGGGAGGCAGCAUUGGG
rnacentral:rRNA from 2 species